rnacentral:misc_RNA from 1 species
GAAAUGCGAUAAGUAGUGUGAAUUGCAGAAUUCAGUGAAUCAUCGAAUCUUUGAACGCACAUUGCGCUUUCUGGUAUUCCGGGGAGCAUGCCUGUUUCAGAAUCAUCGAGGGAAAAUCAACGGGGUUGGAGGUCACUGCAUGCCCCCAUCGAGGUGCGCAGUGCCAAACAAGCUCGUCGGACGUGGACGUUUGCCCAGUGCAAUCGUCUGAAACACAGCGUAUUCGUGCCGAUUUCCAGCCUGUGGUGGAAUCAAGUGCAACAGAUCAUUUUCUAUUUCGCUUUUUGCCACCAAACGGGGAUGGGGUUGGUGUGAGUUGGAAGGGUGACAAGGCCGUUCGACGGCCUUGGGCCAGUCCUUCAAUCAAUGGCUUCGCACACUUGAUCUGAAAUCGGGCAAG